AACGAACGCUGGCGGCAUGCCUAACACAUGCAAGUCGAACGAGACCUUCGGGUCUAGUGGCGCACGGGUGCGUAACGCGUGGGAACCUGCCCGUAGGUUCGGAAUAACUCCCCGAAAGGGGUGCUAAUACCGGAUAAUGUCUUCGGACCAAAGAUUUAUCGCCUUUGGAUGGGCCCGCGUUGGAUUAGCUAGUUGGUAGUGUAAAAGCCUACCAAGGCGACGAUCCAUAGCUGGUCGGGUAGGAUGACCCGCCACACUGGAACUGAGACACGGCCCAGAAUGCGACGGAAGGCAGCAGUGGAGAGUAUUGGACGAGGAGCGAAAGCCUGAUCCAGCCACGCCGCGUGAGUGAUGCAGGCCGUAGGAUAGUAAAGCUCUUUUACCCGGGAUGAUAAUGACAGUACCGGGAAAAUAAGCACCGGCUAACUCCGUG
rnacentral:rRNA from 1 species